GGGAGUACAGAGAAGUAAGUAAACUGGCUGAGCUAGCCGCAUUCCAAGCUACUUCCUUUAAACACUUCAUCUAAGAGUGUGAGUAUUCUGCUGCAGUUUGGGGCAAACUUCACCUAUUUUUGAGCUAUUGAAUUAGGCGAUCCGAAAAUCCAUUUUUUGAUUCGAGGAAAAACUCGGAAGGUUCCGCCAAAAAGAGUUUGGUCUUUUGAUUGGUUUGAGGUUUGAGAACCUGAUUGAAGAAGACUCUCACGCCUCUGCUAGUGCCUUUCAAAUCCUGAGGAAGUUGCUCAUGCUAUUACAUACUGAUGACGACGGUGCUUCACUUGGAGCACGAAACUGGGAAUGACCUGCAGAUGGACCAUAAAGUUUAUGACACCACAGAAGUGAGAUAUCGUAACAGAAGAGCAAAAUAUUUCUGAUGGUCUGCUGGAAGUGUGAAAAAGCUGGCAAUAUAAACUACCCAUUCACGUCAAAGUGCAAUAGGCAGAACUGUGGAGCUGAUAAGCCAACCUAGGAAAAUAACGCCUUCUCCAUUAGCUGAUGGAAAUGAGCAGGUAUGUAAUCUGAUGCACAUAUGGGUUAUUUGUCUCUAUCGUUUGCGUUUUACUGGGUUCCAAAGACGCCAUAUAUGAAAAUUAUUACUUGCUUCGGAAUAAGGGAGGAAUUAGAUUUUAUAUUUCCUCUGUCGAUAUUAUAUUGAGUAAAUAAGUAAUUGUUUGAUUUUUUUUUUCUUUUCAAUAUGUUAUCUAAUUAGUCGAUAUGUAGGGCUUAGACUUAAGUUGGGCUUGAUUAACAACUAAUAAGCCAAUUCUCCCCGUCAAAAAAAAAUAAAAAAUAAAAUAUCACAAUUCCUUAACUUCAAAGAAUUGAUUAUGUCUACCUUCUAAACAUUGAAAUUUUGAUACGUCUCUUUAGUAAAACAUGUUUGCUAGAAGUAGGGAAACUAUGAAUGUAAUAUCAAAAGGUCUUGUGCGCACAAGGUGUAUAAUAAAUUUAUUGUACACCAAGAUAACUUUAACCCUUUCUUUUGUAACUUUAGCCUAAUUUUGAUUAACUUUUAUAUUAGUAAAAAAAAAUUGAUAGAUAAAUAUUUUAAAGGGUUAAAUAAUUAAUUUUAUACAUUAUUAGUGAUUUUGAAGAAAUAAGUUUUACUAAAAUGAAAAAAUUUAUCAUUGAAAAAUAGAUAAACUUUUACAUAUAUAUGCUUAACUUUUAAGCAUUUUAAGUUAACUUUUACUCCAGUGUACAAUAUUUAUUGUACACCCAUUGUAAAUAAGAAUUUGUGAUGUAAUAUGGCAUUAGCUUAAGUACCCGAUGCUCCCUUUAUAUAAUUAGCCGGUCCAAUUGGCUUAAUGUGGUGCUGUCUAAAAUUAUUAUUAUUGUUAUCAUUUUACUUUCAGUAGACACAAUCUUUUGAACAUAUAGUAAUCUAACAUUCAAAAAGUGUAACAACCCUUUGGUUGGCAGACUCUAAUUAAGGGUCAUGGUAAUUGAUAGCAAAACCAGGCCCGGCCAUAAGGAGGUCCGGUCGGAUCUCCAGCACAGGGCCCAAAAAUUCGGGGGCCCAAAAAAUAAUAAAGACUGUUGGACUAAAACUGAAAAAAAAUAAAAAAAAAAUCUACUUCUCUUUCCCUUCCCCGUAACUUCCUAAAACAAUUUCCAACAAUGACGCCUCUUCAAAUUCUCUCUCCUUUCCAAUUCCCAUGGUGAUUUCCAAAAAUGGGUCAAUUAAUUCCCUUAAUAAUAAUCAGCUCUCCACGACUCAACCAUUCCUCUUCUCGCUCCAUGACUCUCACUUUCUCUCUCUGCCGUUCAAGCCUUUCUCUACCAGUUAGGGUUUUGAAAUCGAGUGGUUCUUUCAAGAAAAUCGAGUAGUUCUUUCAAUUUUCGGUUAUGGUUUUGAAAAUCGAGUGGUUAUUUUGAUGGAUUUGGAACUCUCAGGAGGAAUGAACGCGGUGGAAUUUGGCCAAUUAGGUAGGGUUUAUUGAAGAUUUUGGGUUUAAUUUAUCCAUUUGAUUGUUGUUGUUACUGGGUAAUUUGUAGAGUUUAAUUGCAAAUUGAAAGCAUGCAUGGAGUAAUUUGUUAAUAUUUAAUAGUUAUAUUAUCUUUACUAAUAUAACUUGUACUCCGUAUUAUAUUUUUGUAAAUAUUCCGUAGCAAUAUUUUGUGAAUAGUCAAAGCCGUUAGCAUAUCCUGUUAGUAUAUCAUGGCUUGAUUGGCUUGAUUAGCUUGAUUGAUUCCUUGAUUUAAUUAAGGAAUCAAAUCAAAACAAUAUUACCUUAGCUUGUAUAUAAGUAUUUGACUGCAAAUGAAUAAAGGCACGGAAAUAUCUUCUAAUAAUAUUGUUCAUCUAUUAUCACCCAUUAAUUCAUAAAAAAAAAUACCUAUAAGUAGUUCAAUGAAUAAAUUUUCAUAUAUUAGAUAUGUUUCAAGAGGGGAAGUUCGAUAUUUCUUAUUGCAAGUAAUCGACAGUUUGUCAAUGAAUGUAAAGAGGGCCUCAUAUGAACUUUAGUUAUACGCUCAGCACAGGGCCACCAAAUCG